AGCGUAGGCGGAUAGUUCAGUCAGAGGUGAAAGACGGUCGCUCAACGAUUGCAGUGCCAUUGAUACUGGUAGACUUGAGUGUGAUUGAGGUAGCUGGAAUGGAUAGUGUAGCGGUGAAAUGCAUAGAUAUUAUCCAGAACACCGAUUGCGAAGGCAGGUUACUAAGUCAUAACUGACGCUGAGGCACGAAAGUGUGGGGAUCAAACAGGAUUAGAUACCCCAGUA
rnacentral:rRNA from 1 species